rnacentral:rRNA from 1 species
CGGGACGGGGUGAGUAAUGUCUGGGAAACGUGCCUGAUGGAGGGGGGUAACUACUGGAAACGGUAGCUAAUACCGCAUAACGUCGCAAGACCAAAGAGGGGGACCUUCGGGCCUCUUGCCAUCGGAUGUGCCCAGAUGGGAUUAGCUAGUAGGUGGGGUAACGGCUCACCUAGGCGACGAUCCCUAGCUGGUCUGAGAGGAUGACCAGCCACACUGGAACUGAGACACGGUCCAG